GACGAACGCUGGCGGCGUGCCUAAUACAUGCAAGUCGAGCGAAUGGAUUAAGAGCUUGCUCUUAUGAAGUUAGCGGCGGACGGGUGAGUAACACGUGGGUAACCUGCCCAUAAGACUGGGAUAACUCCGGGAAACCGGGGCUAAUACCGGAUAACAUUUUGAACCGCAUGGUUCGAAAUUGAAAGGCGGCUUCGGCUGUCACUUAUUGAUGGACCCGCGUCGCAUUAGCUAGUUGGUGAGGUAACGGCUCACCAAGGCAACGAUGCGUAGCCCACCUGAGAGGGUGAUCGGCCACACUGGGACUGAGACACGGCCCAGACUCCUACGGGAGGCAGCAGUAGGGAAUCUUCCGCAAUGGACGAAAGUCUGACGGAGCAACGCCGCGUGAGUGAUGAAGGCUUUCGGGUCGUAAAACUCUGUUGUUAGGGAAGAACAAGUGCUAGUUGAAUAAGCUGGCACCUUGACGGUACCUAACCAGAAAGCCACGGCUAACUACGUGCCAGCCGCCGCGGUAA
rnacentral:rRNA from 1 species